GAUGAAGAACGCAGCGAAUUGCGAUAAGUAAUGUGAAUUGCAGAAUUCAGUGAAUCAUCGAAUCUUUGAACGCACAUUGCGCCCGCCAGUAUUCUGGCGGGCAUGCCUGUUCGAGCGUCAUUUCAACCCUCAGGCCCCCAGUGCCUGGUGUUGGGGAUCGGCCCAGCCUUCCUGUAAGGCCGCCGGCCCCGAAAUCUAGUGGCGGUCUCGCUGUAGUCCUCCUCUGCGUAGUAGCACAACCUCGCAGUUGGAACGCGGCGGUGGCCAUGCCGUUAAACACCCCACUUCUGAAAGUUGACCUCGGAUCAGGUAGGAAUACCCGCUGAACUUAAGCAUAUCAAUAAGCGGAGGA
rnacentral:misc_RNA from 1 species